CUCGAACGGUAGUGUACAUAUUUCCAUUAUUUCUCGCUCGCGCUCUCGAAAUGAACUCUGUUGUUUUGAUUUUGCAGGCAUUUUUACGUGAAGGUAGAAACAUUAAAAAAAGACAAAAAACAUGUCAGUGGUGGGUGUCAGGUAGAGGUGGUAAUGGACAGAUAAAACACUACCUGCUUCAUCUACAGGACAGGUGAUGGAUGAGCUGUCAAGGAUGAGGAUGAUUUACUUCCAAUGAAUAACCUGCGAGUCAUGUACUGUAAUGUAAUAAUACGAUAAUAAUACAUUUACAUACUGUAGUGCCUAAUGCAAGAAAACUCAACCCAUGUGGCUGUAUCAGUAUUAGUAUUUUAUUACAUGCCACCCUUUCUGUUGAAUUUGUGUAGCGAGAACAUUCACUUCAGAAACUGACUAAUAUUGUGGAAAUUACCUGUCUUAAUUGUCACUUGAUCUUUUUGCCUAUUUUCUAUAAUGGAAACCGUCUUACAAAUAUAGUUGUGGUGUGCUGCCCUCUAGUGAAGCUGUUCUGCUGAAUUGUAGAGUAAACAUAUUUCCAAAGAAGAAUCUUGAUGCCAAGUCUUGCUAAUGUAGAAUUAUUAUUAAUAAUAAUCUCUAGUCACUUUAAGCCCUGUCAAAUUUUAGUUGAAAGAAACAUUAGAUUUACAUCACAUCAUGACUAUGUGGGCACAUCACGACUAUAUAUGGGCACAUCGUGACUAUAUAUGGGCACAUCAUGACUAUAUAUGGGCACAUCAUGACUAUAAUGUAGGCACAUCAUAAUAAUAUAGGCACAUCAUGACCAUAUAUAGGCACAUCAUGACUAUAUAUAGGCACAUCAUGACUAUGCUGUAUAUGGGCACAUGAAUAUAUUUGCACAUCAUGACUGUAUAUGGGCACAUACAGUAUUUGUAUUUGUAAAAAAAGAUUUGUAAAAGUAAUAUGAAAAUAACUGAAGACAGAAGAUGUUUUAAAAGCAGCAGUGGAGCCAGAAACUUGUCGACAAGGGGUCCGACUUGUCUGACGGAAGGGUCCGACACAAGAGGCUGACUAGAGCCUCAGUCGAUGGCCUGGAAUUAAAAAUCCCUGGUAGGGUUCAAAGGGAGAGUUUUUAUGGCAUAUUAUGGUCCAUGUGCUUUUAGACCACAAUAUUAGGGAUCAGCAAUCAAAAUAGUGUUACAGUAUUUGGAUAGGCAAAUAAUUAUUUUUGAUCCGACAACCUAGAGUAGUGUUGGACGACCUAGCGUGGCAUAAGACGACAGGGUGGUCCAGAUCUGUCCAAUGGGAUGGCAAAUUCCCCCCUGCUGGUGCCGCCACUAUUUAAACAAGUUGCAGGUACUACAGUAAUUAUUAUUUUUAAGAAUGGAUUAUCAAGGUAAAAUUUUUAAAAGGCAUACAAGAUUAAAUCUUUUAAGCCAGCAACAGGUUGUGAUAGCAUCUGGUGGAAGAGCAAGUCUAUUCUAACAUAUGACAUGCCUACAUAUGGUCAUAAUGUCGUCACAUCAUGACCAUAUAUAGACACACCAUGACUAUAUAUGGGCACAUCAUGACCAUAUAUAGACACACCAUGACCAUAUAUAGACACGCCAUGACUAUAUAUGGCUGGCAAUAUAGCAGGUUUUUUUUUUAUAAAAAAAAUUUGAUAGUCUUGAAGGGACUUAAAGAGUUCAUUGAAUCUGUAAGCUUCGUUUCACACACGUCUUAAAAAAAAAAAAACAUGCGACCAAAGUAUUGUAGGGAUUGGGAUUUUUCAGUGAUAGAUACUUAAGUUUUACUUAUACUCAAGAGUGAAAGAGCUUAUGAUUCACUUGUUUUGUGACUUUUAAGUAGUUUAUGUACAAUCUUGGAUCUGUGUGGAUUUUUCCACACAUUAAGGAGCUUUAAAUUUGUGCGACGACACAACGCUAGAACGAAAUCACUCAUGAAUGACCCUCCUACCUGGCGCCCUACGUUCUCUGCAUAUGUAGAUUUGGCCAAAAUUGGGUUCCAGAAUCUACUCGACGAGGUGACCUUAACGUUCUCGCUGCGCAUGUGCAGAUGACUUUUAGUGACGUCAUUACGUUCUACGUCCUACUGUCAUUGUGCAAUCGAAAGCUCCCUAGAGUCACAGACAAAAUGUCAAGUUCAAACUGUAGAUUUAUACAGCACUAUGAUACUAACGAUUUUAUGAUUUUAACUUUUUUAAUUUUUAAAUCUUCCUUUUUCAGAGUUUUAAAUUUUGUUUUUCAUUUGUAUAAUACCCUGUAUUGUGUUGUAUUUUCUAUUAUUGUUAUAUUGGUAACAAACACUUUAUAAAUAGAUAUAAAAUAUAAAUAAAGAUGUUCAUAAUAAAGAAGUACAGUAUUUAUUUUUUACUUAAAA